CAGAAACACGAUUCGUCUCUAUUGUCUCAUGCAAGAAGAAAUGGAAGAACUGUCUCAACGUCGUUCUCACAGCUCAGAGAGCACGUGAUGUGCAAAGAGCAGAGAACCAGUGAUCACAGAGAAUCACAGGGCCUCGUUGCACCUCGUGGUGAUAUUAUGACACGGGAGUGUCAGAAGUUGUGUCUCGGUGGAAACUUCGAGGAGCAGAAGUCCUGCAGCAGCUGCGUCAUUGAGCCAGACUCCUGGGCUUCUGUCUCUUGUUACAGCUAGCUUGUAAUCACCAGCGUUAGCACUACUGCUUUCUGCUGCGUGAUCACAUUUCUCCCCUCUGCCGCUGUCACUAUGAGGAGUCUAUUAGUUCACAAUUGAAGGUCCAAACAGAUCAUAUUUGCACUAAUAAACACCCCUAUUGCAUCA